UUAUACAGCAGCGCUACCGUAUUUUUGAAAACUUUCAAUUCAAAAAAAUUUAUUAGUAAGUCGACUAUAUCGACAAUAUUCUCAAUGAUGCUCAUUAUUUAUGAUUUGUUUUUGAAACAUGGCAAAUAAAAUGUUAACUUAAUGUGUGCAUAAAACGAUGUGUAUAUGAAUGUGGAAAAACUCGUCAUCCUAAUCAAAUUUAUGUUUACUUACAUGCCAGAAAUGCGUCCUCAUUCAUAAGUGUACAAUGAUUUUUAAAUUUUGAGUGUACAAACACUAUAAUGCAUAUUGAUGCUCUAAGAGAAAUAUUUAACGUGAACUGAAAACUGAAAACCAAAAAAAAACUACCAAAGCUCAUAACAAAAUUUACUAUUGAGGCUGUCAACAUAAUAAAA